UGUAUGUCUGUCAGUAUGCGUGUAUGUAUGUCUGUCAGUAUGCGUGUAUGUAUGUCUGUCAGUAUGCGUGUGUGUAUGUCUGUCAGUAUGCGUGUGUGUGUGUGUCUGUCAGUAUGUGUAUGUAUGUCUGUCAGUAUGUGUGUAUGUCUGUCAGUAUGUGUGUAUGUCUGUCAGUAUGUGUGUGUGUGUGUCUGUCAGUAUGUGUGUGUGUGUGCCUGUCAGUAUGUGUGUGUGUGUGCCUGUCAGUAUGUGUGUGUGUGUGUCUGUCAGUAUGUGUGUGUGUCUGUCUGUCAGUAUGCGUGUGUGUCUGUCUGUCAGUAUGUGUGUGUCUGUCUGUCAGUAUGUGUGUGUGUAUAUGUAUGUAUGUCCUUAUGCGUGUUUGUGUCUGUAUAGGUCUAUGUGUCUGUUUCACUAUAUAUAUUGUUGAAAAAGAAUGUAAAACUAUAGUGCGGCCCACAUCAGUGUCUGAGGGACUGUGAACUGGCCCCCUGUUUAAAAAGUUUGAGGACCCCUGAUUUAAAAUGUAUUUAUUCUCAAGAAAUAGUUCCCUGUUUUAAACUAAACCUUUCUCUUUUUCUGUAUAUUAAAUAGAUUUGGCGCCAUAAUUUCUCCUUUCC